rnacentral:rRNA from 1 species
UACAGAGGUCCCGAGCGUUGUUCGGAUUCACUGGGCGUAAAGGGUGCGUAGGUGGCUGGAAAAGUUUGAUGUGAAAGCUCAGGGCUUAACCCUGAAAUGGCAUUGAAUACUGUCGAGCUGGAGGUUUGGAGGGGGGACUGGAAUUCUUGGUGUAGCAGUGAAAUGCGUAGAUAUCAAGAGGAACACCAGUGGCGAAGGCGAGUCCCUGGACAACACCUGACACUGAGGCACGAAAGCUAGGGGAGUAAACAGG